rnacentral:misc_RNA from 1 species
CUCACUAUCUCUUAUAAAUUUCCAGUAACUUUCAUCUUUAUUUGUUAAAAGAAGUGAUGCUAAUGUCUUCACUGCUAAGGGAACUCCUUUGCAUUUUUUCACAAUUUCAUCCCCAAUUUUUAACAAGUUUGGAUAGUGCUUCUCUUCACCUUCUUUAAAUGCACAUCUAGUAAACAAAGCCACGCAUUUAUCAUGCGGAAGACCUGAUAACUCAUAUGGUUCUGAAAUGGUGCUCAUAAUGGAGGCUACUUUCUUACU